GAGACAGGAACAUGUAUAGACACAUAAUAUAAAGGAAGAGACAUGUAUAGACACAUAAUAUAAAGGAAGAGAGUGGAACAUGUAUAGACACAUAAUAUAAAGGAAGAGACUGGAACAUGUAUAGACACAUAAUAUAAAGGAAGAGAGUGGAACAUGUAUAGACACAUAAUAUAAAGGAAGAGACAUGUAUAGACACAUAAUAUAAAGGAAGAGACUGGAACAUAGACACAUAAUAUAAAGGAAGAGACAGGACACAUAAUAUAAAGUAUAGACACAUAAUAUAAAGGAAGAGACAGGAACAUGUAUAGACACAUAAUAUAAAGGAAGAGACUGGAACAUUCUAUACAAUAUAUAAAAGAAACAACAGGAAUGUGUGAAAUAUACAGUUUAGACCUGCACUACAUAUAGAAAAACACGGAACAUGUACCAUAAUAUUAUUCUACAAACAGUUGUAAUCAAAAUUAUUCAACUCAUUGAAAGUCAGAUUUAUUGUCAAAAUGUUGUGACUUUCAGCUGUUUGCAAUGUACAAAUCAAACAAAAGUAAUUGAAGUAGCUCAACACAACGAAUGUUUAAAGUGGUUUCCCCCAAAUUCAACCGAAAGUGCAACUUAUGACUUUUUCAGUCUCAAAAUUAUUCAAAAUUAUAGUCUUGAAGUUCUGGCAUGGAAACCUUCUGUGUUUAGAACGCACUUACUGUGCUCACUGAAACCUCAGUGCCUGUUGCCACUAAGUCUUGCUUCAAGCCUUUUGUAGUCACUCGAGGGUUUUUCACAACCUGCCUUCUCAGAAAGCUGUCUGCAGCCAUUGAUAGGGUGAUGAUCUCUUCUCUGUACUUUGUCUACCAUUCUUUUGACUUAGCCAUAUUUCUAACAUGCAGUCAAUCAUGACAUGCAACAAACCCUGAGCCAGUUCAGGUAUUUCAAGUAUUCCAGCUCAAGCACACCUGGUGCAACUAAUGAAACCCUUGAGUAGUUCUAUCAGUUGUGCUUGAGACAAUGCCUGUUUUGCAUGUUUGUGCUGUUGUGAGCGAUUCUAUUCACAGGGUUGAAUAAUUUUGAGACUGGAGACGUCAUUAAAAGUAGCUUUUUUAGUUGAAUUUGAGGAAACCACUUGAAGCAUUCAUUGUGUUGAGCAAUUUCACUUAAUUUUGUUUAAUCUGUUCAUUGCAAACAUCUGAAAGUAUCUAAAUGUUGACAAUAAACCUGACUUUCAAUGGGGGUUGAAUAAUUUGGAUUAGAACUGUAAGCCGUCACAUACACACUCCUAUGAAUUCAUUGCUUAUGGCGUGUUUUCCAG